UACAGAGGGGGCAAGCGUUGUUCGGAAUUAUUGGGCGUAAAGAGCUCGUAGGCGGUUUGUCGCGUCUGCCGUGAAAGUCCGGGGCUCAACUCCGGAUCUGCGGUGGGUACGGGCAGACUAGAGUGAUGUAGGGGAGACUGGAAUUCCUGGUGUAGCGGUGAAAUGCGCAGAUAUCAGGAGGAACACCGGUGGCGAAGGCGGUUCUCUGGGCCUUACCUGACGCUGAGGAGCGAAAGCGUGGGGAGCGAACAGG
rnacentral:rRNA from 1 species